rnacentral:rRNA from 1 species
AUGGUUUUGGCUUCUCUCCGGGCAGAUUCCUCCCUCCCCUCGUCGUCUUCAUACGAGGAUGGACGCCCUGCCUACCGAUGCUCCCCCAUAUAUACCCCGCUCCUCCAGCCCCACACCACCGUCGGCUGCACCCUCGAGAUCAUCUUGUCGUACCACCUGUACCUGAACCCCAAGCUGGUGGUGCAACACUACCGGAUCUGGUGCCUCGUCACCAACUUCCUCUACUUCCGCAAGAUGGGUAUGUCUGUCCAUAAACGACGCUCGCCUCCUAUCCACUCCCUGGUCCAAGUGCAAGGCGUUGUGAAAUUCAGUAGGUUGGCAUGGCGUAGGGCUAGGUUUGCCGAGGCUGCGUAG